rnacentral:siRNA from 1 species
GAGAUGGUCUUAGUAACUACGAC